rnacentral:lncRNA from 1 species
UAAGGGAAUCACUUACAUAGUAAGCAGUGACAGUGCCAGCAGAAUUUCCUGGGACAAGUUUGAGCUGCAUGUCAAUUUUACCAAACAGAUAUUCAUUCUUGGGUUGAAAACCAGAGCCAGAGAUUUUGUCAAGUGAGAGAGUAAGGAGGUCGCCAUUGUUAAGUAUUUUUGCUCUGCCAUCACCCCAUGUAAUGUCGAAUUCUUGAUCAAACUUGGCCCAAUUGCAAUGCCAAAAGCACUAAUCAUAAAACACAUUACAAGUACUAACUUAGAAGAAGAAGCCAUGUUUAACUGUUAAGAUUUCAAAGUUUGUUGGAUGAAUUUGAGUUGGAUAGUUAUAUGGGGUUUUAUAAGGGUUUAUACCACCCCCACCUCAACAAUAAAGAAGUAGGUAGAGCAGAGCGUGUGGGGUUAGGCUUGAGGAAGUAAAGAGGAAGGUUCAACGUAAAACAGAAAACAAGGGAAAAAAUAAAGAUUUUGAGCUGGAAACAGGAUUAAAAUGACGGCAUCAAAGCUAAGUGACAGACAUGAGCCCAUAUAUGAUAUUCCGCGGCCUUUUACUAAUCCAACACUACUCCUGCUACGAUCGUGUAAUUUUUGCACCUUUUUUCAGAUUGACCAUUUCAUUUUUUUUUUUAUGUACACCUUCCUAAAUGCAUUUUGUGGGAAAAUGAAUAAAUUCAUUUUAAAAUUUUAUCUCAAACAUUUUUAAAUUAUUAUGGUGAAUUAUUACAUAUUUAUAUUGUUCAAAAGUGAAUUUUUAUUUAUUUCAAACAAAUAGCACCACAAUGAGAGGUGUAUCACAUUCGUGUUAUAUCAAUGUUAUUUUCCUACCUAAUUAGCAGGGGAAAAUAUAUUUAUACCUAAAGUGUAUCACGUGACACGGCUAUAUUAAAUUUUUUUACAAAAUAUAUCUAUAUAAAAAAUGAAAAGAUAAACGCUAAAACAAUUAAAAGAACACUGCUUGUAAUAGAAUGUUCCCAUCUUUGAUUCCUUACGGGAAUUUCUUUUUUUCUUUUCUUAAAUAUAUUAAUUUUUGUUUAAAUUCGAAAUAAUAGGUCCCCUUCAUAAAAAAAAAAACCUAGCGACCCACCCUAAUUCAUUUGAAAUUUAACUAUUUUUUAGAAUUAAAAUAAAACUCAAAAUCUUUUGAGUUCAUUAUCAAUUAGAAUUAUAGUUAAAUAAAAAUAGCGUUAGACUCGUUAAUUCCUUAUAUUUGUAUAUUUGUGACUUUUGGGUUUGUUCAAUUUUCUCUUGUUCUUGUUCAUCAAUUAUUCUUAUUUGACAUCUCGAAUCUCCACAUCAUGUUAGUAAUUUUUUUGCUAUUCUAUUUUUUUUAAAUUAUUAUGUGCUUGAAUUUUUAUUUUUAUUUGUUCAUAAUAAUAAUUUUGUUUUUUACUAUUUCCUUGUUACAAUGAAAUAAUUUAAAUUCAUUAAAUUAAUUACAAUUGUUCUCCCUCUUUUAUUUGAUCCUCAAUUACUAAUGUACAUAUUACGUCAUAUAAGUCUAAAUUAGUCUAAAUUUAAUAGAGAUGUAUUAUUCUAAAAAUAUUACAAUUAUUUAAAGUCAAUUUAAAGACUCAAGCUUUAACUGACCUCGAAUAACAAGCUAAUGAGUCAAAAAAAAAUAUUUACGAAGUGAAAAAAUUAAUUUAAGUUCAUUGCCGAUUGAUGUAAAGAUUAUCUAUUUGAAAGUAUCAUCCAAAUGAUCAUGAUGCAAUAGCUAGAUCAAAUCUUCAAACAAGGUCCAUUCAAGGAGAUCAUAUCUUCAACAAGGUCCAUUCCAACAAGGUCAUAUGUUCCACUUUUUUCAUUUUCUUUUAAAGAUGUCAAUCAUUCAUUUUGCAAAGCAACUUCACGUUGAAUAAUAUUGUAUAAACACUCUAUUUAAUAAAAUGAGGAUGUGAAUGAUUUAAUUUAAAAUUUAAAUAUGUUAAUUAAAAGAGUCGACAAUUUUUUAAAAUUAAUCAAAAUUUAAUAUUUUUAAGAAAAAUAUUUUUUCAUAAAGUUGCCUCAACUUUUUGGAGGCCUAAAGCAAAACCUUUAAUAAUUUUCUUCUUGAGCCAUUUUGAGGCCUUACGAAAUGGAAUUUUCUUCUUGUGUCAUUCUUGUUUCUUUAAUGGUGACAUCGCUUAGAAAAAAUUUUGUGUACGCCAUUGCUUAUUAGAUGCUAUGUCGGAUUUCAGAAAAAAAUUGUGUUUCAAUUAUAUCUUCUUCAAUAAACACCACCGUGAAUCACUACUACUCACCAUAUUAGUACCAAAUCCAGUUUCACCACUAAAAAUCAAGAUAACCACCACAUAUUUCACCACUUACAUCAAAAGCGCCAUUGAAAUCACAUUAUCGCCAUCAUCUCCACGAUAAUUACAAAGAACCACAAUAAAAUUAAACUAUACCCACAACCAAACUCAUCACCAAAAUCACAUCAUCACCAUCAAAAAGUAUUAACUCAUCACCAAACAUUACCACCAUCGUAUCAAUAUUGAUAUCUUCUUUUCACUACCUUAAAAUUCUCUCUUCUUUGCUAUCCUUCACCAAUAAAUCCACCAUUUAGUUUGUCUUUUUAAAAUCAGUUAUCCAUUCUAUCACCAACAAAGCCAAAGAAAAAUAAGCGAAUAUAAUGGAGAUGGUGAAAUCAGAUAAGAAAUAAAUUAGGAAUAGUUAUGAUGAGUUAAGUUAUGAUGGGAUUAAUUAUGAUGGGAAAAAUUAUGUUAAGAUUAUUUUUUACGGAGUGUUUGAUUUGUUGUUUUGAAAAUAAUAAAUCUCAAAAACAACAUAUAUGUUUACAAAAAGAUAAAAUGGUCUGAUGAACCCUUGUACUUGUAUCAGUUUAUAUUUUAAAUCCUUCUACUUACCUCUUUGUCAUCUGAACCCUUGAAAUCAAUAAAACAUAAUUUAACAAAUACCUCUGACCAUUGACCAAACUUAUGUGUCAUUAAGAUGACUAAGUUAGCAAAAGUGUGUAACUUAAAGAAAAUUAUGACUUGACAUGAAUAGAACUGUCAAUAUGGGAUAGCUUACCCCAUCCGGGCUAACCCAUAAAAGCUCUGAUAUUUAAUGGGUCAAGUUGGGCUAGCUCAUUUUUUGCAUGGGCCAGGAAAUGGUCGGCCCAACCCUUAAGUACGUGAGUUACAAGCUUGUCGAAUCAAUCCAUUUUUUAAAAAAACUAUAUUUUUUAUAAUUACAAAAUUAAAUCAUAAUUUAAAAAUAUUAUCAUAAAUAUUGACAAAAUAAUAUUACACGAUGUUAAUAUUAUUAGUUGUUAAUCAAAUCCACAAAUAAAAUUAUCUUUAUAAUAUUUAUUAAGUUUUUUUCAAGUAAAAAUAUAAAUACCUAAAUAGAAAUAUUAAGCUAAUUGUUUUGAGUUUAGACUCUCUUUAAUUUUAAAUUUUCAUAUUAUAUUAUAUUUUUUAAUUAAUUUUAUUUGCUCACGGGCCGACCCUUCCUGUAUUUCUCAAGCCCCACAAAUCAAAAGACUUAUUAAGUUCGGGCUAAAAAAUUAUUUUCUUAAAUGAGCUCAAAAAAUAUUAGUACAGUCCUAUUAAAUCUCGAGUUAUGUCACGCCGACCCAACGGGCCCAGUCCAUAUUGACGGCUCUAGACAUGGAUGUAACAUGUCAUCUGUGCAAGGGAGAGUGAACUACACACAUGGUUGGAGGGAUUCAAAAAUCUCAAUUUAAUUGAGUUUAAGAGUCCAGAUGAUAAAAAGGUAAGUUAAAGGGUUCACAAUUUUAACUGAUAGAAGUAUAAGGGUCUACUAGACCAUUUUGCCUUACAAAAUAACUAUUCAUGAAUGUAAAAAAUAAUGUAUAAAAAGUGUUCAAAAAGAUAUGUUUAGUCAUUUUAUCUUCGAAUUACUAUACCACUCAAGGAAAGGGAUAACUUAUCUCAAUACUAAUUAUUAAUCCUAAAAUAAGUUAUUCCGUACUUGUCAACCAAACAAUAAAUUAAAUGUCACUAUAAUUUAAUCUCAAGUCUAUUUGAAGUUAUCCUUCACACCAAAUGAUCCCUUACAGUAUAAUAGUGGAGGUGGAUGGGGUGGGGUUAAUAGAAAUUGAGUAUGAAAGGUGAUUAAAAGAAAAUGAAAAAAAGAUCUGAAAUAUAUCUAAACUUUGAUAGAAUUAAUUGAUGGAAUAAGUUUUUUGUUCUUCUUGAGCUAGAUCCAUUUUUGUAUCUUCGCAUGUACCUAAAACCUGCACGAGGUGUGAGAAGUUACCCAUUUUAAUAGGUUUUAGAAGAGAUAGGCCGAGGAAGGGUGAAGAUGAUUAGAUGUGAUAUAACACAUUUUUAAAUUAUCGAGAAUAUAAUUUUAAAUAGAAAAAUAUGAAAAUAUUCUAUUAGAGUAGUAGAUUGCCGAAUGUUGUCCUACUUUUAUGCGGAAGCGACAAGGGGCUACUCACCUCUUCUCCUUAUUUAGUAGUAUUUAUUAGUAUUCACAUAGUAUCUUAUUCUUCAAUUUUUACUAUUACUUAGCUUGUUGCUUCAUUUGCUUUGACCAUCUUGAUAUUUUAUUGUUGUUAAAUUUUUUUCAGUCAUGCUUUAAUUAAAUUUCUUUUCAGCCAAGAGGCGAUCACAGAGAUCUCUUUUUUUUAAAAAAAAGGUAAGAUUGAAGUAUGCAUACAUCAUAUCCUCCUCAAGUUUCACUUAUAAAAAUCCACGGAAUACUAUUGAAGAAUAAAUACAGUUAUUUUCCAUGCUAUUCAGUAUGCUAAAAGAAUGUCGUGUAAAUAAGUAUUUUUAUUUCAAGUAUAUAUAGUUGUAUGCCAUGUGUUGAAUUUUCUCAAUAUUUUUGUAAAUUCACUUUUUUAUAUUGUAGAUAUUCUCUAAAUAAAAAAAUUAGCUCCGCCACAUAUUGUUCUCUUAUUGAAAGCUCCAUUGCGACUUUGCAAUCAAUGACCAUUUCUGCAGUUCUUAAUUUGUGUACACGUACGAAUCAAAUUACCACUCUUGAUUAGGGUUGCGUAUUGAUUAAUUUGGUUUGAUUUGGUUUUGAAGUUUAUUAAUUUGGCUUAUUUGUUAUCAGUUUGUAGAAAUGUUAAAGUAUUAUAGAAUCAUAAGAUAUUAGCUUAUCGGUUAUUGAUCUAUCAAUUUUUAUCGUUAUUGGCUCGGUUAUUGGUUUAACCGUUAAGAUUUGACACAAAAAAAAUUAUUGAAAACCAUGUAGGAACAAGGUGAAAAACUAAACCAUGCAUAUGAGUUCACAAGAUAGAUCUUGCUAAAAAAUAAAACACUUUUUACAUUGUAGAAUAACUAAAACAACCAAAAAUAAAAGUAGAAAACCAAACUCCAAGUCAAAAACUUUAAUUUAUAUACAAAAUGGUAUAAAUAUAAUUAUUUAAUUUACUAUCGAAUUAUCGGUUAACCCGUUUAAAAAAAAUUAAAUAGUCAAAAUCGACAAUCCAAUAACAAAAAAAUUGAAAUUGUUAUUAAAAGUACUAAAUCAAUAAAUCAAUACUAAUAAAUCAAUAUAUUUAUUUAUUCAAAUUAUCAAUUUCAAUUUAAUUUUAAACGAUAUUACUUUUGACUUCCGGCGGAAAAUAAUUCACAUGAUUUUUGUUCUUUUAAUUUGUCUAGUUGUAAACCACAAUAAUAGCCAUCUUUUUUGCAAAGGAUAUUUUUCCUCCCUCUAAAGUUCAGUCUAUCCUCAAUUAAUUUAAUGAGAUAUUAUGUAUCUUUAGCCAACAUAGGUAUUAAAUUCCUGAGAUAUUAUGUAUCUGUAGCCAACAUAGGUAUUAAAUAUCAUCAGGUUAUCAAGGAGCAAAACAAGUAUUAUAUUAGGUAAAGAAUAUUGCAAUAGUAAUAUUUUUUUUAAAAAAAGAGUAAUCUAUCUAUAUAGCUAGUAUUUUUAUCUCUAUUAUGUAGAAUUUAGAAAGGAGAUCUCAUAAUUUUUAGCCUCUUUCAUUGAUUACUAGUCUAUAUCUUAAAGAGUACUCUUCAUUAUUUAAAUGUCCCAGAGAUUCUUCACAAAUUUUUGUAUAACUUAUACAACUAUGGGUAGGUAUUUAGAUUUAAAAUAAGUUAUUUAUAUAUAUAUUAAUACGGCGUUUGAUUGAUAAUUUAAAAAUCCAUAAUAUUAAUAAAUGUGUAAGUUAUGAGGAAUAUGUAUUAUUAUAUGCUGGAUAGAAGGUGAAAUAAAUACUUAAUACAUAAAUAACUAAUCCAUGCAUAAAAUUUAUAUAUAAAUUUACUCAUCACUAAUUCUUACAUUAUCAAUACAUACAUAACUCUAACCCUUUCUCAAACAACCUCUAUAUGUAAUAUGUACUAUGUAUUAAAUUUCUAUAGUUGUUACAUUAAUUUAUUUUUUUAUAUUUUGAUAUUCUUUCAUUAUGAAAAUUCUAUCUCCGUCCCUUUUUAUUCUCUAUUCCAAUCAAUGACCACUUGAUUAUUUUGUAUAGCAAUAAAUGGCCAGUUUAGUCUUCUCAUAAAGAUAACAUUGAGAUAUUAGUUAUUUAGCUUGUGUGAAGUAACCAUAAACUAUGGACUUUGAGAUACGCGUGAGAUACUAUAUAAAUAGGUCAUAAAAUUUACAAAAAGGGUAAACUACAGAAAUUCUACUAGAUUAGGUUUGUUGGAAUUCUGACCUUCAAAUUCGCCGUAGAAACAGAUUUAUUUUAUAUGUUCCUUUACAAAAUUACAACAAUUACUUUUUCUAAAGCAAAUAAAAUAAUGACGCAAUAUUUUACUGCGAAAAAACCUCAACUCACAAGGGUAAAAAGCACGACCUACACCUCUGUAAGAUUUAACUCCACUUUAUUAAAUUUCAAAUCUCAACAAAACAUUACAAAGUUGUGUAAUCUAAGGAAUUAUAAACUCUAAUUCCAAGAGAGAUUAAAAACUCUAAUUUCUAGCUAAGAAAUUAUAAACUCUAAUUUCUAGCUAUCCGAAGACACAAAACCCCCGAUUUUGUAUCUUCUAAUAUUUUUCAAGUUCUACAACUUGUCGAACAACUUCUACUCACAAAACUCAGAUUGUUAACAAGACUCUUGAAUACAAUCUUGAACAAUUUUUCCUCACAAAUUUCAACACCCCCAAUAAAUCUCAAAACUCUCUCAAACCUCUUGAUCGUGUUUUGAUCUUCUCUUUAUGUAAGUGCACAAUUUUUUCUGAUGCAAAUAGCUCCCUAUUUAUAGAUCAAAACUUCAACAAAUCCUUAUGUAAUUCAACUUGUAUUUGCCUUCUUCAAAUCCUUGUUGACUUCUACUUGGACUUCAAACAAAACUGCGUAUCAACUUCCUUCAACAAAUCCUUUUUGAACAUAAAAUCCUUGCUGCGCUUUAACUAGAAUAAACACUUCAUCAAUGCUGCAUCAAGAUUUUGCCACAUCGAGCAACACAUAAUAUUUCUUUCCUGUAGACUCAAGGAAAACUUACGUACAAUUUCCUUAAACAAGUAGGAAGUAGUUUUCCUUCUUUGUUUAGGAUAGGAAAACUUACACACAAUUUCCUUAAAUAAAUAAGAAAACCUUCCACAAAUUUCCUUAAUUAAAUAAAAAAACAUUAUUGAUUACGAAUUCCUUUUUCAACUUGGUUGCAAACUCUUUUAUGAAAGGAAACUUUAUGUACUUGUUGGUUAUCGAAAAAAUUAAUAUUUCCACACCUUUAUAUCUUCUAAUUCGCGAGGUUGACGUUCUCCUUAUCCAAGUCAGAUUCGGUCUGUAAGGAACAUGUCGGGAAACCUGUUUCUUUCAUAUGUUCCUGUAUUUUGUCAAUUAUCAAAAUCUUUCGCAUUCUAACAAAUUUCCCCUUUUUGAUGAUGACAAACAUACAUUAGAACACAACAGAUAAGACACACAUCUUCACCCAUUUUCCAUAUUAUUUGUACAACUCCUUAACUCUGUCAUACUUCAAAACAAAUAGACUUUAACAAAUUCCCCCUUUUUGACUAUGGCAAGUUUUAUCUGCUUGCAUUGAAUAUGUACACAUAACUCAUAUGCAGUUGCUUUCCCCUUUUGACAUCAAACGAAAAUAAAACACUUGUGAAGGCAUACACCAUACUAAGAUAAAUAAAUUUGAUACUUACACAAACACUUAAGAAUUAAAAAGCUAGUUAGCUAUAGCAAAGCGUUUGCACAAACAUAUGAGAUAUCUAUGAACCUGAAACUCAAAUCCAACAUUAGCAUUGAUCAAAAAUCAUAUACACCACAAAUGUAAUCAAAAUCAAAAAUAGAAUCAAGCACUUGUGAUGAGAAAAAAUUUAAAAGUCAAAGGCUAGAGGACUAGGUAAUACCAAAAGAUGAGAGGAUAAAUAAAAGUCAUUUUUCAGCAACAAAGAUAUUUUUUGGAUUAACAAAAUUAGCGAUUUUCUCAAUUUCAAAGUUACCUUGGUCUAUGAACACUCAAUCCCCCUUUUUUUUAUAUAACUUUUAAGGAACUUGUUAACCAAUCAUGUUCCUUCUGCAGAAGCAAUAGUUCACUCAUCUUUAAUUUCAAUAGAGUCAGCAAGAGAAACAAUUUUUCUUGAGUAUCACUUCUAAAGGAACAUGUUCUCUCAAUCUAUUCCCUGGAGGUGUACUAUCAGGUGCAGCACCAACUAUAAAAAAAUAUUUUAUAUCAAUUCGAAAUCCUAGUUCAUAUGGUUCCCAAUAGAAGAACUAUGUUCGACAGAUGGAUCUCUCAUUGAUUCCCCCUUACUAGAUGCAUCCAAGUUGAGCCUAACAAGUGAACUUUGUUCAAGUAUAGGGUCUCCAAAAUAUUCCCCCUCACAAUUUAAAUCCUCCAAGACUUUACUCGAUACAAAAGAUUCCCCUAAGAACCAGCACACUCUACUUUCUUAAUCUGUAUUUAUAAGGCACCAAAGUAGAGGUGUCCUCCAUCAAGUUCAUCUCAACCAUAGACCAUCACAUUGGGAUAAGGCUUUUUAAGAAGAUAUUUAUUUUGAUAUUAUUUAGGGUAUGAAUAUCUUUAGGGACAAGUGGAAGAAAUAGGUUCAAGUGCAUUGACUUUAUAUUUAAUCAUGAAUAAUUGUAGUGCACAUACCUUAGAUCUCUGGAUAAUGCUGAAUUUUGCUUCAAUUUUACUAACCUCUCUCCUGUGCUUAGAUGCAAAUACAAUGUUAUAGUGCAUGAAUGACUUUAAAAGUGGUAUAGAGACAUACAACUUAAUAUACAAAAAACUGAGCAUAGAAUUCAAGAUUAGAGGGCAGUAUGCGCAAUGUUCAUUAGCCAUUUAGAGAUACUCAUGUAACCUUAAUCAUCCCCAAGUUCCAAAUUUUUCUUUUUGAAAGUUUUUUCCUUGGCUGAUAAUACUUUUAUAUUGAUUGAUCAUCUGAGUGCGCGUAACUGUUAGAUACUGUAUAGGUUGGACUUGUUCCUUUCACAUGUUCCUUUUUGCCUUUUCUCUUUUUUUAACCCUUUUUUUUCAAAUGAGAGGAAUUUCUUCUAUUUUCAAUCAUGCAUCUGAAACAACAUGUUCAAUUGGUGAAUGUUGUCUGCUUCCUCUCACUUAACCUGCAAAUUCAAAGGUUAGAUUUAGGAACCCAGACUAGAUUGGGUCCUUUUUUUUAUCAAAAGGAUAAAUAAGAUCUCUACGAGCCCAUUUUGGCAGACUGUUUUUAGGAAUAAACUUGUUCCUCUGAACAGUUUCUUAAGUUCCUUUUAUUUUAUUUUCUCCGGUAGCUUUAUAUUUAGGACAAUAUUGUUUAAUGUGACCUGAGUUACCACAAAUAAUACAAAACAUAGGAUUCCUAUUUAUGGAUUGUUCAUACCCUAUUCCAGUUUUAAUGUUCCUAGUAUUGUUACCUAGAUGGGUUACUAUCAUGGAGGAUUUUGUCCAUUUAUUAGCUCUUUCAGAUCAGUUUUUUUCUAGACAAUUCAAGAUUCAUUCUCCUAGAAUUUUUUAUUUCCGAAGAUAGUUCAUUGUUUAACCUCAUUAGAGCUUGGUCACAUCUGAAUUGGUCACCACUACUUUUUUCUUUUUUCUUUUCCAGUAACACUAUGUUUCAGAAUUUCAGAUAUGAAAGUCAAAGUGCAGGAACCAAGUUGUUGUACCUGUUCCUUUAGGAGUUGAUUUUCUUUCUUGAGAUCAGAAUUAACUUUUUCAAGAUCAAUAUAUUCAAACUUUAAACUAGUCAUGGAAGCAAACAAUUGAUUCUUGGUUUUAACUAGUUCUUGAUUGUAUCUAUGGAAGUGAGUAAUAAGAAGGAUAGUUUUUUUUUAGAGAAUUUUACUAAUUUAUCUUUUAAAUCAAAAAGAUUUACCUGCAUUCCUUCAGAGUCUAAUUCAGGUUCUGUUUCUGAUUCUUCUAAGGCCAUCAACGCGAGGUCCUCAUUAUCUUCAUCAUACCUCACGGAACUUGUUCCCCAGGCAGCAUACAUCGCUUGUUCCUUCUCUUUAUUUUUUCUUUUGUUUAAAAGUUCUCUGUUCUCCUUUUCAGCUCUUUAUUUCUUCAUUCUACCUCCCACAUAGGACAAUUUUUAAUUUGAUGAUCAGUUUUUCCACACUUGAAGCAUCCUUCACUUUAUGGUUUCUGUGUGUUCUUUUUUUUAGUGUGUUUUACCUUCUUUUUUCAGAAUUUAAGUUCCUUUUUUAAGAAUUUCUUGAAGUUUCUACUUAUCAGUGUCAAUUCAUCAUCAUCCAUAUCUGAUUCAUCACUUUCAGUUGCUUUAAAUUCAAGAUUUUUCUCUUUGUUUCCUUCACCUCUUUUGCAACAUUCAUCUCAUAAGUUUUGAGAUUUCCUACUAAUUAAUCCAAAGUCAUAUGGUUGGAUUCUUGGAUUCUCUGAUUGAAGUAACUUUUAUUUCCCAUGAUCUAGGUAGAGUCCGUAGUACUUAGUCUACCUGUUCCUCAGUGGUGUAUACUUUGCCCAAGGAUAUCAACUCGUUUAUAACAGUGGUAAAUCUGGUGAUCAUAUCUUGUAGUGAUUCUCCGGAUUUCAUCUUGAAGGCUUCAUAUUCAAAACAAAGUCUGACAAUUCUGAAUUACGAACUUGAGUUGUACCUUCGUGAGCAUUUUUUAAAGUGUCCCAAUUUAUUUUGCAGAGGUACAAUUAGAGAUACAGUUAAACUCAUCAGUACCUAGUCCACAUACAAAAAUGCACUUUGCUUUUGCAUUCUUCCCUAGCAUCUUGUAAUCAGUUUCUCCGUAUUUUUCUGUAGGUUUAGGUACCUUAUUCCCUUCACUAAAGUAAUAGAAGGAAUUAAUGGUCCAUUAGUAAUUUUAACUCAUAGUUCGAAAUUUUCAACUUGAAUGAAGUAUUCCAUCGUUGUCUUCCACCAAGAGUAGUUAUCUCCAUUAAAUAAUGGUGGUCUGUUGGUGUGUUUCCCUUGACCAUGCCCAGGAGGAGGUGCAGAAUUCAUAAUGAUCUUAUCUUGAGUUAUUAAACUCUAUAAAGAUAAUAUGCUCUGAUACCACUUGUUGGAAUUCUGACCCUCGAAUUCACCUUAGGAACAGGUUUAUUCUAUAUGUUCCUUUGCAGAAUUACAACAGUUACUUGUUGUAAAGCAAAUAAAAUAAUGACACAAUAUUUUAUCGCGGAAAACCCCAACUCACAAGGGUAAAAACCACGACCUACACCUCUGUAGGAUUUAACUCCACUUUAUUAAAUUUCAAGUCUCAACAAAAGAUUACAAAGCUAUGAAACCUAACGAAUUAUAAACUCUAAUUCCUAGAGGAAUUAUAAACUUUAACUCCUAGCUAAGAAAUUAUAAACUCUAAUUUCUAGCUAUCCGAAGACACAACACCCCCCGAUUUUGUAUCUUCUAACGUUUUUCAUGUUCUACAACUUGUCGAACAACUCCUACUCACAAAACUCAGAUUGUAAACAAGACUCUUGAAUACAAUCUUUCAAUUUUUUCUCACAAAUUUCAACACCCCCAAUAAAUCUCAAAACUCUCUCAAACCUCUUGUAUAAUUCAACUAGUAUUUGCCUUCUUCAUAUCCUUGUUGCUUCUACUUGGACUUCGAACAAAACUGCAUAUCAACUUCCUUCAACAAAUCUUUUUUGAACAUGAAAUCCUUGUUGCACUUUAACUAGAAUGAACACUUCAUCACUGUCGCAUCAAGAUUUUGCCGCAUCGAGAAACACAUAAUCUUUCUUUCCUUUAGACUCAAGAAAAACUUACGUACAAUUUCCUUAAACAAGUAGAAAGUAGUUUUCCUUCUUUGUUUAGGAUAAGAAAACUUACGCACAAUUUCCUUAAAUAAAUAAGAAAACCUUCCACAAAAUUUCCUUAAUUAAAUAAGAAAACAUUAUUGAUUGCGAAUUCCUUUUUCAACUUGGUUGAAAACUCUUUUAUGAAAGUAAACUUUAUGUACUUGUUGGUUGUCGAAAAAAUCAAUAUUUCACAGCUUUAUAUCUUCUAAUUUGCAAGGUUGACGUUCUCCUUAUCCAAGUCAGAUUCGAUCUGUAAGGAACACGUCAAGCAACCUGUUUCUUUAAUCUAUUCUUGUAUUUGUCAAUUAUUAUAAUCUUUCUCAUUCUAACAAAUUCUCCUUUUUUGAUGAUGACAAACAUACAUUAUGAACACAACAGAUAAGACACACAUCUUCACCCUUUAACAAGGUUUUAAUUAUUAAGAUUUCCAAUAGUUUCAAAUAUUACUUUCUCUAUCAUAUUUCAUACUUAGGAUACAUGAGUCUGAUUCAUAGAUACUUAUCUGCGGAAUUUAAAAAUUGAAGUACAAAAUUUAUUUAUUUAAAUUAAUUGAUUGUAAUUGAUUUCCUUGAUUAUAGGAGUAAUUGAGAAUUUUUAAAAUAUAUAGAUAAUUAAUUUCAUUUUUUUAUUCUUUGAAAUAGUAAAUUUAUUAUUAAUAAUAAUAUAAGAUAAAAACAUGUAUAUCUUGGUAAUGUAAUUUGAUUAAUUUCAAAUGAUUACUCUUAAAAAAAUAAAUUUAUUAAUUUGAUAUAUCUAUUAUCAAUACAUGAUGUAUCUAACAAACUAAAUACUUAGAUACACAGUGUCAUACAAGUACAUGCAUAUUUGUCAAAGUAUCUAGCAUUAAUUUCACGUAUUUGUUAUACGUAUAUUGUAUUUCAUGUAAUUUCUUGUAUCUUUUAUAUGUAUCUCGUAUUAAUUUGAUGUAUCAAGUAGAGUAUAUGUUUUAUCAUUAAUAUCAUUGUGUAGUUAAAAAUCAUGUAUUCAAAUUUAAUGAUGGAUACAUAUACAUGUUGAGAUACCCCAUUACUAAAAAUACAACUCAGAUCUUAAUUAAGAUUACUACUUAUUAGAUACACAUGUUUCAACGGUUAUAUUAAAGUAACAUUAGUACUACAACACCCAUGUCACAGUAACAAAGAAAGUCUUAGAAGAACACUAGCAAACAAAGACUCUACAUUACUCCUUUGUAACAUUUUGCGUUGUGUCAUAAAAUAAUUAAAACUAAGAUUUAUUUCAUCCGUAUACAAAUCAAUCAAGACCCAGUCUGAAUUGAAAGAUUUCUCGGUAGCAGUUACUUUGAUUUGAUCUUGUUAUAAUGAAAAAACAAUCAAGACCCACUCUGAAUUGAAAGUUUUCUCUAUAGCAGUUACUUCGAUUUGAUCUCGUUAUAAAUGAACAAUACAGAAUAAUAUUCAGGUUCAGGAGAAUUUAUUGGUCAUGGUGAUGAUAUCUUGAAAAGAAGAGAGUAGAGUAGCUAUUGUUGAAAUGAAAUUGUACGGUGAAAUUCUUGAAUCGAAAAGAAUGAUAUAUAAUUGAGUGAUAAAUAUGAGAAGGGAGAAUUAAGAGAUCGUGGUUGAUUUGGAGCGAAAGAGUUAAUUAAACAGAUAAUGAAUCAAUCCUAGUUUUAAGGGAUAUGAGUAUCUAAUUGUAUCUUCAUAUAAUAUAUUAAUAUAUAUGAUAUAAAAUACUAAAAGUCGUAAUAUAUGUAAUUAUUUGAAAGUAAAGAUAAUAUUAGUAUAUAUACUAAUGAUGUAUGUUUAAUAAGUAGUUUAUCCUUUAAAAUAAUUGCUAAUGUAUACUCAAAUUUAAAGUAAUUCAUGAAAUACUCAUUUUCUUAUAAAUAAUUACAACGCAUGUCCUCCAUUAAUUAAGGUUAUUAUAAUUUUUGCUUAAGUGAUACUAAAUUAGUAUCAUAUAAUGUAUUGGUAACAUUAAAAAUUUUUCUCUUAACUAAUAUUGAAUCAGUAUUAUUAAGGCUGAUAAUUUCACUUAACUUGAUACUAAAUUUUGUUGAGAAAUUACUCAUUAGAAUAUAUUUCAUAUCCAAAUAAUUAAUGCACCUUCUGUUGAUGCAGAACAAUAAAAGAAUCAAUAUAAUAGUUUUACAGAUCAUAAGUAAAAGAAUACAAAAAAUUUCACGGUAAAUGCUCAGCUAUUCUGAAGACAAUCUACUGGAAAUCCUUGUGGAAAUCGUUCAGAAUCAGUGCAGUAAUUAUAAAAAAUAUUGAAAAAAUAUGUUUACCAAGUAGUGGCAAGUUGGUAAAACCAAGCACCAUUUUCUCAAGUUCUUCCCAAAUAUAUUAAUGGUCAAACUUAUCCUAAAUAUUUAGGCUUUUCUCCCGCCUUCUCAUCAAUUAAGAUAGAAAUUUGAAAUGAUGCAAAUUCACCUUUUAUUAUGUAUCUCCAUCUUAAAGUCUCUUUAUUUUACUAUGCAUUUUCUUUAUUUGGAGAAUAAAAUUGAGAGUGUCUUCUCCGGACUCUCUCUAUUUCACCACUAACCUCUAAUUAUAUAGAGUUGAAUAUUAGUUCUCCAAAUCAACCACAAACAUUAGUUAUAGUUUUGAAGAGAGGCAAGGCAAUAAACAAUUAAUGGUUUUGUGAAAGAACCAAGAAUACCUGAUAUAUACUUUUGUAAAUGCAAAAGAGAAGAUACAGAGAAUAAAUCUAGAUUUCUUUUUGUUUUCCAUCUUAUUUUUUAGGCUUUGGGCUGUUCACUUUUGGAUAAAACUAGCCCACUAGGUCAAAUUAGAAGAAGAAAAAGUAUCUAUUUCAUUGUUUAUAUAACUUAGUACAAAACUAAGAUGUUUCUAAUCCUCAAUAAUUAUUGCAUCUUCUACUGAUGGGUACAAAACAAUAAAAGAAUCAAUACAAUAGUUUUUAAAGUAAUACACUAUUUUUUCAUUAUUAAUGCUCAGAUAUUCUGAACACAAUCUGCUGGAAAUCCCUGUGGAAAUCGCUUUGAAUCAGUGCAGUAAUCAUAAACCAUGUAAUUCUUCUGCACCCAUUUGAGCCUCUCUUGGCUUGUGUUAUCUAACUCUUCAUUCAACCAUGAAUUGCUUGUUGAAGCUGCAGAAUUGGAACUGCAAGAAGAUGAAGAAGUGGGAAUGCAAGCAUUAGCACUGAAGUUUCUGUAAGAAGCACUAAAGGGUGCUUGGCUCCAAUCAGUCUUAACAAGGCCUCCUCUUGUAGCCCAAUCAUCAGCAUUCCAAAGACUCGAAUAUAUCCUCAUGGGUUGGUUCUUUGGAUAUGAAACUCCAAUCGAUUCACUAUUCUUGUAUUCUCUAAUUGGCGUUCCGUCCACAUAAAAUCUGUUUCAACCAUAAAAAUAAGAGAACCCCAAAUCAAGAUUUAUCCCAAAAGAAUGUGUUAGAUUUGAAGAAAGUUUGAAUGUUUAACUACUUACAUGAUGCGUUGUGGAUUCCAAGUGAUGGAAUACGUGUGGAAAUCAGCAGUAGGGUCAAACCAGAGAUGAAAUUGUUGUUCUCUGUUUCCUUUGCCUUGACUAAAUACAUUAGUAUGGAGAGUAUAAGGAUCACCACUUAAAUUUCCCAAGAAUUCAAAAUCUAUCUCAUCAUGUGUUGGUCCUUGUGAUGACAACUGCAGUAAAAGAGUUUAAUUUCAGGGGAUAUUCACGUAUAGAUAGCUCAAAAAUGAUUCAGAAAUCAAGGGAAUUACUUACAUAGUAAGCAGUGACAGUGCCAGCAGAAUUUCCUGGGACAAGUUUGAGCUGCAUGUCAAUUUUACCAAAGAGAUAUUCAUUCUUGGAUUGAAAACCAGAGCCUGAGAUUUUGUCAAGUGAGAGAGUAAGGAGGUCGCCAUUGUUAAGUAUUUUUGCUCUGCCAUCACCCCAUGUAAUGUCGAAUUCUUGAUCAAACUUGGCCCCAAUUGCAAUGCCAAAAGCACUAAUCAUAAAACACAUUACAAGUACUAAUUUAGAAGAAGAAGAAGCCAUGUUUAAUU